rnacentral:lncRNA from 1 species
GUCAAUGAACUGUUAAAAGAUAAUUUGAGGAAGAAAUAUGAAUUCUGGCUGUUGUCUGAAAAUCUUCCUUUGAUCUGGUGAGAUGAAGCAAUUACCAGCAUUUGCAGAAAUGGGUGUCUGUAACUUGAAAGAAAAUCCCAGAGAUAAUAGUGGAGCACUCUUUUGCUGCAAAAACAACAUUUUUGAUAGCACAGAGCACAAUAUCUGUGAUAGCACAGAGAAAACGGCUGAAUCAAAAAUUGACCGUCAACGCUUGGUGUUCCUGCAACAUGUUUCUUGGCAAUUUGCAACUACAGCCUGAUGGACCUUUGAUCCUGGGAGGCUGGUGGUUUGUUUUUACUUCCACUUUCCAUCUUUACAAAAACUGAUGUCAACCAGCGCCUCUUUUAAGGACUGAGUCAAGCCACUGACUGUUGAGAAAUAACUGUAGUCCUCUCCUUCUGCCACUAGACAGUGUACUCUCUCUACGUUGAAUGCACUGACAAUGCUGCACUUCCUUAACUGAGAAACUGGCUAUCCAUUAGAAGAGGUAGCCCUAUAAAUAACUGUAAACACUGACUGUAAAUGGACUAGCCAGUAUUUACUGUGGAUCCUAUCUGGGAUGCACUCACUAUCUUAAGUGCUUGUCUCCUCUGGAUUUGCUCCAAGAGGAAGGGAGAGAAGAUUCCCAGGAGAAACAUUGCAUUCUUAUGGCUCAGUAUUUUUUCUUGGGAAAUGAAUGAUCUAAAUCGCAGAUGAAUUCAUUGACUCUUCAAUCUGUAGGCACUAGCUCCCUCACUCACACCACAGGAAUCCAAAGGCAGAACUCUCUCUUGUUUUCUGGAAAGUUGGAAAAACAGAAAGAGAUAUGGAGCUACUUAUAGAUAUUUUUUAAGCAAACAAUUGGCACAUAUUUAUAAAUAGAAGUAGUGGGGUGUAAUGGAAAGAACAUGGCUUUGAUGUCAGAUCUGGGUUAGCACAAAAAUCAUGUGAUCUUGGGCAGAUUACCAAACCCUCCGAGCCCCGGUUUCCUAAUCUGUAGCAGGGGAAAAUUACAGGAGAUAAAUUAAUCACUGGCUCGUACUAGAAGCUCAGUAAAUAUUCAUUUCUGUGGAAAAGAGUGACUAUGGG